rfam:Triticum urartu cultivar G1812 contig10708, whole genome shotgun sequence.
GAAGUACUCCUUCUGUUUCAAAAUAAGUAUUUUUGAUUUGUCCAAAUAUUGAUGUAUGUAGACUUGAAACAAGUCUAGAUACAUCCACAUUUGAGCAAAUCUAAGACACUUUUUUUGGGACGGAUGGGGUAACUA